rnacentral:rRNA from 1 species
GACGAACGCUGGCGGCGUGCUUAACACAUGCAAGUCGAACGAUGAAGCCUAGCUUGCUAGGUGGAUUAGUGGCGAACGGGUGAGUAAUACGUGAGUAACCUACCUUUAACUCUGGGAUAAGCCCGGGAAACUGGGUCUAAUACCGGAUACGACCAAUCUCCGCAUGGGGUGUUGGUGGAAAGCGUUAUGUAGUGGUUAUAGAUGGGCUCACGGCCUAUCAGCUUGUUGGUGAGGUAACGGCUCACCAAGGCGACGACGGGUAGCCGGCCUGAGAGGGUGACCGGCCACACUGGGACUGAGACACGGCCCAGACUCCUACGGGAGGCAGCAGUGGGGAAUAUUGCACAAUGGGCGCAAGCCUGAUGCAGCGACGCCGCGUGAGGGAUGACGGCCUUCGGGCUGUAAACCUCUGUUAGCAGGGAAGAAGAGAGAUUGACGGUACCUGCAGAGAAAGCGCCGGCUAACUACGU